rnacentral:rRNA from 1 species
UACGUAGGGAGCUAGCGUUGUCCGGAAUUACUGGGUGUAAAGGGCGCGCAGGCGGUUUCAUAAGUCAGGUGUGAAAGCCCGGGGCUCAACUCCGGAUAUGCACUUGAAACUGUGAGACUAGAGUGAGACAGAGGCAAGUGGAAUUCCAUGUGUAGCGGUAAAAUGCGUAAAUAUAUGGAGGAAUACCAGUGGCGAAGGCGACUUUCUGGCCUUAAACUGACGCUGAGGUACGAAAGCGUGGGGAGCAAACAGG